ensembl:lncRNA
AACAGGCUAGCACAUCAGGAGGAUGGUUCAGUGGUUGGUUUAAGUCAUCACCCAAAGACAACCACCAGGAGACCUCAGAACCAGCGAGCCCCUCUCAAACAUUUUCCACCCCAGAAGUCUCUCCGCCUCCCCCACCAACCAUGUUCUCACCACAGCCCUCCACGACAGCAGGGAUCAAUCCAUUUUCAAGGAAAGCUGGGCAACAGCUGGGCUAGAAGGCUUCCCAUCAAGUUAGACCUAGAGCAUCUUAUAAUGUCAUUAGCACAUCUGGUACAUCUGGCUGUAGACUGAAACGUGUCAACAGUCAUCACUAAUAAAAAUGCCCUUUUUCUCACUGUGCUUGAAGCUCUCAAUACACUGGAUGAGAAGCCAGACCUGCUCCAGUUUCCCAGCACAAUUCAUGCACUUCCGUAAAGCUGACCCUAGCUAAAUGAAUUGUACAUACAGAUCAUAUUUUGUGAUUUGAAUAGCACACACUGAGGUAAUAACAUGGCAACAAACUAGUAUAUCUGUUUCACUGUUGGCAUAAGAUUUAGGUGGUUGCCAUGUUGGAAUUGGCACAUCCUCAUUAAGUUACAACCACUCUGAUAUGAAGAUACAUUGACUAAUAGUUUUAUGCUGUGAAGGAUCUAUAUUGGUGUAUAUAGAAUUAUUAUUUUCUUAACCUGUAAAACCCUACAUGCUGAUAUGUUUACUAGCUUAUUCUAAGGUAGAUUUUAUACUGAAGAAAAAAAAAAGCACUGGUACUUAUAAAUAUGGCGCUAUGUUGAAACCAGGCCAAGUUGAAGUAAGACAUGUUUGCUUGUAUGCUAUAAGUGUCCUCACUGUCUUAAAUGAUCCAACUGGUUUUGUAAUGGGCAUGCCUUAUUUCUUUCAGACUUAAUAUACAGCACAUAAAUUAUUUGUUGCAGAUAGCUUGUGAUCCUUAAAGUGUAUGGAACCUUUUGGAGGUGGAAAAUCAUCUGCAUGAUUCCACGGAAAUAUAAAGUUAAAAUCGUACUUCUCAACAUUCUCCAUGGAGAUACAUAUGUUUUAUGCCAUAAUGCAGAGAUUAUAGCCAAUGGAACAACAUUUUAAUUUCAUCAGAAGCAGGAAGAGGUCCUCCUUAAGUCCAAAUAAGAGUCAGGUUUGUGGAGAUGUAAGUCCGCUCAGAGUAAGAUGCAUUUUUCCAUGUUUUCCAUUGUUUUAGAAACACUCAUAAUGAAAUAGUUACCGUACGUACUAUGGAUUUCAAAAAAAUCAAGUUAAAGUAAGUGCC